rnacentral:rRNA from 1 species
UACAGAUUGUGCGCUCGUUAAUCGGAUUUACUGGGCGUAAAGCGUGCGUAGGCGGCUUUUUAAGUCGGAUGUGAAAUCCCUGAGCUUAACUUAGGAAUUGCAUUCGAUACUGGGAGGCUAGAGUAUGGGAGAGGAUGGUAGAAUUCCAGGUGUAGCGGUGAAAUGCGUAGAGAUCUGGAGGAAUACCGAUGGCGAAGGCAGCCAUCUGGCCUAAUACUGACGCUGAGGUACGAAAGCAUGGGGAGCAAACAGGAUUAGAAAACCCUGUAGUCC